AUGGAAAGGGCCAGGUAUGCCUCCCCACCCCCCGCCCCCGCCCUGGUUCUCAUCCAGAUAAAGAUCCUCCAGUCCAGGGAGGAGGCGUCCAAAGAGUUUAAAGUUGCUGGGUUUCUGAGAAAAGGACACUUCCCGGCCCCACUCGUGGGCCAGAAUCCUGAGAGAUUUGGGAAAAAUAGAGAAAGCCUGUACACCUCCUUUCCAGGUACAGCCGGGGACAGUNNNNNNNNNGAGUGUUCACAGUGUGUGGGAUACAGGGUGCCAGAGAGAGAGCCAAGGUUUAAGAGCUGGGUCAAGCAUAGGGGAGACCCCCACACACACCCACUGCAAGCUGGACGUCUAUCCCAGCUCAGAGACUGCACCAGCCUCUCCCUAGGGCUGGGAGGUAGUGAGAAGCAGCCACAGGCACGCACUGGCCGGCCCUGUGGGGCAGGGGAGAGGCAGCCAGGGAGAGCAGACAGACCCUUCUAGGUUGUGAAACUUCCAGGGGUCGGGGCCAUUUGAAGGCAGGACGCCAAACGAUUGUUCCUUGAGGGCAGUGUGUGUGCUCAGCUGUGUGUGACUCUUUUCGACCCCCUGGACUAUAGUCCACCAGACUUCCCUGUCCAUGGAAUUUUCCAGACAAGAAUAUUGGAGCAGGUUGCCAUUUCCUUCUCCAAGGGGUCUUCAAAACCCAGGGAUUGAACCCAUGUCUCUUUCAUCUCCUACAGUGGCAGGCCGAUUCUUUACCACUAGCGCCACCUGGGAAGCCAGAGUCAGAUCUUAACCUGCUCUGGCCACAGUGCAGGGCGGCCAUGGAACAGCCUCAGGGUACAUUUGUGAGUGCGAGCCUGUCCAACUAAGGAAGGAAGAGAAGUGGGUGCAUCGGUCAACACCAGUGACCUCUGGCUCUGUCCCUUCGCCAUCUCCUCUGAUCCUCCCAGCUCUCCUGGGAGCAGUAGAGAGUGUUGGGACCAAACACUAAGGCUCGGGUGGGAGGCCCUUUGCCUGGGAGUCCCCAGCAGAGGGCACUGCCUGGAAGCACGUGGCCAACCACCUGGCCCUUCUCUGGGAAGGUCUGGACAAAUGCUGUCCACUGUGGUGGACACUGGCCAUGUGGCUUCCAUACCGGAAGUGGUUUCCCAGCAGAAAUCACUGAGGGAGGUACAGGCAGAAGAAAUGGCUCUGAAGUGGCUGCUUCCACUUGAGUGGUCUGGCAGGGCACAGGUCCAGCCGUAGCCCAGGGAACAAGAAAGAGCAGGCUCCUUGGCUCAAAGUUCACUUCCUCUCUGAACUGGGACCCAGUUACACAGCUACCCUGGGGAUCACCUGGUUAGGAAUGGCUGACCGUGAGAUAAAUGUACAACCUAAAAGCUGGGAGUUACGUUUUAUUUGGGGACAUUACUGAGGACUAAAGCCAGAGAUUACCUCUCAGAUAGCCCUGAGGAACUGUUCCAAAGAAGUAAGGGAGGAGAAAGAUAUAUUCCCUGGUGGCUCAGCUGGUAAAGAAUCCGCCUGCGAUGUGGGAGACCCAGGUUCAAUCCCUGGAUUGGGAAGAUCCCCUGGAGGAGGGCAUGGCAAC
ensembl:lncRNA